rnacentral:rRNA from 1 species
UACGUAGGGUGCAAGCGUUGUCCGGAAUCAUUGGGCGUAAAGCGCGUGUAGGCGGCUGAGUAAGUCUGCUCUGAAAGCCCGGGGCUCAACCCCGGGAGGCGGGUGGAUACUGCUCAGCUCGAGUCCGGAAGAGGAGUGUGGAAUUCCUGGUGUAGCGGUGAAAUGCGCAGAUAUCAGGAGGAACACCAGCGGUGUAGACGGCUUUCUGGACCAUUGCUGACGCUGAGACACGAAAGCGUGGGUAGCAAACAGG